rnacentral:rRNA from 1 species
GGGCGGCGGCUUACACAUGCAAGUCGAGCGGUAACAGGGGGUGCUUGCACCCCGCUGACGAGCGGCGGACGGGUGAGUAAUGCAUAGGAAUCUGCCCAGUAGUGGGGGAUAGCCCGGGGAAACCCGGAUUAAUACCGCAUACGCCCUUUGGGGGAAAGCAGGGGAUCUUCGGACCUUGCGCUAUUGGAUGAGCCUAUGUCGGAUUAGCUAGUUGGUGGGGUAAAGGCCUACCAAGGCGACGAUCCGUAGCUGGUCUGAGAGGAUGAUCAGCCACAUCGGGACUGAGACACGGCCCGAACUCCUACGGGAGGCAGCAGUGGGGAAUAUUGGACAAUGGGGGCAACCCUGAUCCAGCCAUGCCGCGUGUGUGAAGAAGGCUUUCGGGUUGUAAAGCACUUUCAGUGAGGAGGAAAACCUUCUGGUUAAUACCCAUGAGGCUUGACGUUACUCACAGAAGAAGCACCGGCUAACUCCGUGCCAGCAGCCGCGGUAAUACGGAGGGUGCAAGCGUUAAUCGGAAUUACUGGGCGUAAAGCGCGCGUAGGUGGUUUGAUAAGCGAGAUGUGAAAGCCCCGGGCUUAACCUGGGAACGGCAUUUCGAACUG